rnacentral:lncRNA from 1 species
AAACUUUAUUUACAAAAACAGACAGUGGACCAGAUUUGGCCCCAGAGAUCAUAGUCUGCUGACUUCUGUUCUAGAAUAUAAGCAGAAAGAGAAUCUGGAGUUCUAAUUAUCACAAGCAUGUCCAAUCAUCCAGACCACGUCUUUCAGGUCUAAUUCCCACUUGAGAGGUACCAGCUGAGCCCCUACUGCAAGGCUAAUAUGUUAAACACUAUGGAGAUAAGAAAAAUCACAAGACAGGCCCUUGUGACACGAGUGCAUGGAAAGUUAAGCUAUAGACAAGAGUGCUUCUGACAUUUGGCUAUGAGACUGAAACUCCACCUACAGGAAGGCUGUUCAGUCUGGAGCGUCUGGGCCUAGAUAAUUCUGUCAGCUCUGGAGGUUCCUUACAGAUAUUCGUCUACAAAGAUUUACUCUUCUGCUGGGAGGAACUUAAAUGCCCCACUGAAAAGAUUUUGUGGUGACUGCUCUCGGUUGCUCCUCUGACAACAAAUCCUGCCCUGCUGUUCUGACAGCAUUUAGAGUCUGCACAACAGUAUUGACAUCACCACGUCAUAUACACCUGGUCUAUAAGACAACUGGGGAUCAGAGAGUUGAUACAGCUAGUAAGUCGCAGAGACCACAUUCACACCUUAGUCCUUCUGAUUGCAAGUCUAUGCUUUCUUCAACUAUGGCACACUUCCUCUCACACUAACUUAUAAAUCAGUAAAA